AGUCUUAUAUUCAACAAUGAUAUUAAAUUGCAAAUUUAAAGGUAAAUUAAAUUUUAAGGCUU
rnacentral:tRNA from 1 species